UAUUUAGAGAGGUUUUCAGGAGAUUUGGGCCGACUUCUUUGAAAACGCAUCUCAGAUUUUACUGCCUUGUUCAAUCCACUCCACUUUUAACCUGGUGUUGUAUACAU